UAAGUGGCGGUGUACUUCAUCACAGCCUUCCGUUUUCGAAAACAUCAGUCAAUCCUUCGUUAAGUGAGCAUAAUGGACAUCAAUGACCCAACCAUGCCCAUAAUGGCCAUACAGUACAACAAGGCAUCCUCGUUGGUCUAUGUUGCAAAUGGGCUGCAGCACUUUCCAUGCUUUCAAGCCGAAGGACUUCACUCCGAGGGCAUACUCUACAAGCAAUACAAAUUCAGAGAGACACGAGGAAAUCAAGUCAAAAUCAACCGAUUGUCUUAGACCCUUUUGCACAUGGACAUUUGAGAGCACUCUACUCUUUAGUCUGUUGGAACAAAGUUAUGAUGUUUCCAUUUCACACAAGAAAUCAAUUGCAAGAAGAUCAUGACAGCAGCUUGUCAUGUAAGGCGUUUCAAGCCAAAGGACGGAUUCACUCCAAGAUCAUGUUGUGCAAGCAGCACAAAUUCAGAGAGCCUCAAGGAAAUCAAGGCAAAAGUGUACUGGCCAUACAAACCUCUGUUCCUCUCUCACGUAAUUGCAUAGUUGAUUGUGCGUCACAGCAUCAACCCUUGCACCUUCUAUUGCUGACAUAUACUUGUGAGUGCAAGACUUGUCAAUGAGCACCUGGCAGCUGUUCUCUCCCUGGCAGUGAGUUCAGUCUGCUGCAACCACCUCUCCUUCGACGGUGGAUCAGCAACGAAGGAUCCUAUUGAGCCCUCGGCCGAGACAGAACAAGUUUUUGAGGCGCUCACUACCAAUCGUCGAAGACAUGUCAAAGCCCUUGAGUUGGUCGGUUUCUCUAAGCACUGGAGCUGGGCGUUUUGCCCCUUUUUUGGGUAGUGUAAUGUGGUGGGAGUUAUUUUAACCUGUUAGUGAGGGAAUCAUCUUCUGGUAAAGAUGAUCAUAUAUGUACAAACCUGUAGUGUUUGGUUUGGUUGUAGCUGAUACUUAUUUGUAUAUGGAUUAGGUGCCUUUGAUUUGAUUCAACACGGGCUAGUGAUGAUUUAUAUGUACCAAAUCUCUUUCAUUUUGAUGGAUUUGCGACGGCGCCUGAGAUUGAUUUUCCUGCUGGCAUGGCACAGUAGAAUGUUCAUCAGCAUGCAAAGAUUGCGGAAAUUCAAAUGCUCACAUAUAUGUAUGUAUGUAUGUAUGCAUGUAUGUAUGUAUGCGCUUCUUCC